GAAGGAUUUGUCCAUUUUUAACUUGCCACUUGUCAUUUUUCCUGCCCUUGUGGGUGAAAGAAAUGAACUAUAGUUGGAAGAUGUCUUGCUUCAUUCCCUGGUCUGCUUGUGAAGGGAACCCUGUUGUUCACUGAGCCUUCCCAGUAGCGUCUGCUUAAAUGGAAUGGAAAACCUCAGCUGUUGCCCUCUAUGUUAAGAGUUUUCUGAAUUUGGGGACACCUGAGUCAGCUCUUGGACUUCUCCCCCUUUUACUCCAUAAAACCUUCAGCACUGAAGAAGUAUCACACUUGAGUGUCUGAGAUAUAUACGUAGCCACCCAAGCUUUCUUUGAGAUGCUGUUUCCAUAGCUACAGAGUUUUCAAGUUUAUCCUCCUGUGAUGAUUUACUUUACCAUGGGAUAUAGGAAACUGAAGGAAUUUUUCUUGUGAAGGAACAAUGAUGCUUAAUUAACUCAGAGAAGUCUUCCUGUGAAGAGGGACCAUUUCCUUCAGAAGUGCUAUCAAUCAAAGGUUGGAUCCUGAUUGCCUACAGACUAAAUUCCAGUGACGUUAAUGCCUCAGGACUUUCUUUUAUUGUAUUAGAUUUAAAAAAAACCACUAUAAAAUAUCAUGGGAACUUUUGUUUCUACCAAUUUGACCUCACCCAUGGCUGCUGAUGGCAAUGAUAUUGUUCCCUUGCGUCAGAAGCCGAGGAAGAAAACUCAAGGUUUCUUCACAAUGAGCCGGAGGAGGAUAUCCUGCAAAGAUCUGGGACACGCUGACUUCCAGGGGUGGUUAUACAAGAAAAAGGAAAAAGGCACCUUCCUCAGCAACAAAUGGAGAAAGUUCUGGGUUGUGCUUAAGGGGGCAUCUCUGUACUGGUACGGCAAUCAGAUGGCAGAGAAAGCUGAUGGUUUCAUCAACUUGCCAGAUUUUGCUGUGGAUAGAGCUGCUGAAUGCAAGAAAAAGCAUGCUUUUAAGAUCAGCCACCCACAGAUCAAGACUUUUUAUUUUGCAGCAGAGAAUGUGCAGGAAAUGAACAUGUGGUUAAAUAAGCUUGGGUUAGCUGUAAUCCGUCUUGCAUCCACAGGAAAAGAAGAAGAAUGCUACAGUGAAAGUGAACAUGAGGAUCCCGAAAUAGCUGUGGAGACGCCACCCCCUCCCUACUCUGCUGAGCCUCCAUCGCAUUUGGGUCCACAGGAAGCAUCUUCGUCCUCACUUGUGCUGAAUGAACCGUCCUGUUCUUUUUCUUCCCUGGAGAGUUCAGUCAAAUCACCCAGCAGCUCUUCUUCUUCCACAUUUAAAGCGGCGGCCUACCCAGAAAGGCAGUCUUGGCUCGACAUUGUCAAUAGUUCCUCUACCACUGAAGAUGUGGGACAAUCCAUAAUGGUUCAGAUCCAUUCGCCUGCUCCCCCAGAAGCCUCAGAAAAUGGCCUUGUCAAAUCUGAAAGUGGAUUUCUGAACUCUUUGUCAAGUGAGGAGACGUCCUCACCAAACAGCAGUUUAGAUCACCUCUCUGUUCCUGAUGAUGCCCUAGGACUCAAGACAUCAGACAGAGAACAGACAAAAGGCCUUGAAGAUGAUGAAAUGGAAAAGCUUUACAAAUCUCUGGAACAAGCCAGUUUAUCUCCUAUUGGGGAUCGACGACCUUCAACCAAAAAGGAGUUGAGGAAGUCAUUUGUCAAGCGAAGCAAAAAUCCAUCCAUCAAUGAGAAACUCCACAAAAUCCGGACGUUGAAUAGCACAUUAAAGUGUAAAGAACAUGACUUAGCCAUGAUUAAUCAGUUGUUGGAGGAUCCGAAGCUGACGGCAAAGAAGUACAGGGAAUGGAAGAGCACAAAUAGCUUGUUGGUUCAGGAGAUCUAUCAACAGCAGAGUGCAAAGACUGCCGCUGAAGGGUCUUACCUGGAGCCUGAGGGACAACCUUCCUUUACCCAUGUUGAAAGUUCUAUUUGAGAUCCAGCCAGAACUCUCUCCCUUACCUUGUUUUAUCCUUGGCAACCCUUUAAGCUGCUAUGAAAUCUUACAUUUUUCCUUAAAAGGUGACCUAAAAACUAUUCCCCAGAUCCUCAGAUCUGGCCUGACAAAGCAGCUUCACUGGAAGCAAAUUAGCUAAUGCAUGGAAUCCCUAUUUCAAAUGACAGUGUAUCCAUUUGAUGGAUGAAUCACUUUAAUUCAGGUAUAUACAAUUGAGGGCCUUCUAUAUAUGAGGUGCUAUAAGAGGUGAGGAAGUGGGGUGAGGGACAUGAUCUGCUUUCAAGGAACAUACAACAACAAUCUGUGGAAUAGAGGUUUUCACUUACAUGUGAUUUUGACAGUUUCAUGAUUGAAUCCCUCGGUAACAGGAAGAGAAUGUGAAAACAAAUAUAUGUGGUCUAUCUUGUUGGCUUGCCAUCUUUCCCAUGUCACUUUUAGAUGGGAAGAAUACAGUAUAAAUGCUUUUUUGUGUGUUGCUAUUUAAUUCAGAAUCUUGUCUUUGGGGCUGCAGAUCACCAAUCUCAUUUCCACAUCAACUUAAAGGGAAUACAUUGGCAUUUUAAAAAAAAAGAUUCAGAAGAGAGCUAUUCCAUGGAAGCAAUGUUCUAUCAUUUGUGGACUCAAAGGACUACUUGACAUUUUCAAAUUUCACACUGGUUGGGGGAAUUCUACAGCACGUGGAGAGAUGUUGCUUGUGCACUUGGGGACAUCUAUUUUCUGACUUUUUUUCAUCAACUACAGGAGUUAACCAUGCAUCGGUAAAGCUGGAGGAGGUGUUAUAGGUGACCACAGCAGCCAAAGAAGAGAAGAUCGGCUGGCACUUCCUCAAACAUCCCACUGACUAGACAGAUUAAAGGAUUUGUUUUUUCUUCCCAGGGAGACAUCAUCUCUGGAUUGGUGAAAUUAAAAAAUGUAGACAAGAUAAUUAACUUUUAUUAUUUCUGGCUGAAGUACUAUGCCUGGCCUUUUCUUUUAUAUACAUUGGAGGAUGCAAAGUGCAUUUGUUUAACUUUUUGUGUGUGUAUUCAAUGUUGGACACUGAUCCAAAUGUGUGCAUUCUGAUUCUAAAGAUUUUUAAGUAGCGUUCAUGCUGAUGGCUCCUCAAUAAAAGUCAUAACCAGGUCUCCAUUCAUGGUGACAUCAUACCACCACAAUAUCCUUGAAAUUGUGCAUAUCUUUUCCUUGGAGAAAACUGUGAAAUAACAGACACUAAAGGGUGAGGAAGUUAUCACAAAGGACCCCCCUUGUGGAUGUGAAUAAAGAAUGUGCUUUCAGGCAAGACCUUCAAGGAACCAUAAAAUAAAUGGCCCAUUGAAGAUGAUUGCAAGGACCUUUGGCAGAACUCCCAGGGCAACCAGCCAAGGGUUUGUACCAUGACUGGCCUAUUGUUUGCUCCAAGCUGAGAGAAAAUUUUGAGAGUGGCAUUUUUAUUUAAAGUGGCAUUGAAGUGAGCCUCAUUUACUUUGGCUAUGACUGACUCUGUCAAGGUGAAAUCUUUUGAGAAUCUCACAUUGAAAAAAAAAGUGUAGAUGAGUCCCACCUGGGAUCCAAUCUCAUCUUUCAGGUACAGCACUUCUUAAACUGUGGGUCACAACCCCAUAUGGGGUCACAAAAAUCUGGCAACAUUAAAAGGUUUCUCAACACGCAACACCCAAAAAUUAAUUAAAAACCGAACACGUAAUGAGUUUUCGAUGAGUCUGCCUGUGUUGUAUCAUGCAACUUCACUGCAGCCUUGGUUCUGAACACCAACCAUGUGUACUUGGUGCUGUGCAUGCCCUCAGGCCACUAGAGAAUGCUGCCAAAAUGAGAGUGGAAAAAGUUUAAGAAGCCUGCUCUAGAGACAUCAGCACAGUCCUUCCAUUCUAGCCAGGAAUAUCUCUUCACUGUUACCUAUAUUCACCACUAUCAUUUUUGUUGAUAUUGUUUUACCCUUUUUCAGCCUCUACCUAUUUAAAUUUAAAGCUUCCUUCAAGGUCUAUCUCCUUUUGCAGUCUUUUCACCUCAGUUGGUGAUUUUGACCUCAUUUCAAAAAAUUUUCUUGCAUUAGUAUAUAAAAAUUUGUUUUAUAUUUGUUUGAGGGGACAUGGAAUAGUAGACAAAAA